rnacentral:tRNA from 1 species
CGGGGUGUAGUUUAACGGUAGAAUGCGCGGCUGGGGGCCGUGUGAUUGGAGUUCGAUUCUCCGCACCCCGA